UGGCUCAGUUGGUAGAGCAUUGCGCUUGUAAUGCUAGGGUUGUGGGUUUGAUUCCCAU
rnacentral:tRNA from 1 species